rnacentral:tRNA from 2 species
AGCUAUCGGGGCAGUUGGUUAGAGCGCCUGAUUGUGGUUCAGGAGGUCGUCGGUUCGAGACCGAUCUUCCA